CCCAGGAGGCGCGGCCGCGGCCGUAGGAGCGGGCUGCGGAACAAAGAACUUCGAGCGGGACGUACCUGCGGCGGCAGCGGCUGUCAAGUCCCUGAACUUCCCAUAGACCCGCGGACUGGGCGCGGGCGGGCGGCUCCGGGCUCCGCGCGGCCGCGGGCGGCUCGGGCUACCGCGAGCGGCGGGGCUGGGCGCGGGGUGCGCCCGCCGCGGGCAUGGUGCGGCGCGGGUGGCCGCGGGGCGCGCGGGGAAGGCGGGAGAGCGGCGCGGGCGAGUGGGAGCGGCGGGUGUGCGCGAGUGCGAGUGUGCGAGCGCGCCGGUGGCGCUGCCCCUGCCCGCUCCCUCCCGCUCGUGCAGCUCCGGCAUCAGUUUCGGGGAUCGUGUAAUCCGAUCCCUUCUGACUCACAGGCCCUGAGUGACAGUUCUGAUUUGGUUCAACUGCGGGAGGGAGGGGAAAGAGAAAGAAAGAAACCCCCAGCCGUACGCCUCUCCUGGCAUCCAAUCGAGUUUCUGGAAAAAGGUCCCAUCCCAGCCUGGAACCCCGCGCUGGGUGGAGAAGCCCCCAGGCCCGACCCCGCGCCGCCUGCGCUACUCACGGGGUGGAAAAGUUGUCCCUCGGCUCCGCGCUCCCCUCCCGCGCGCUCCCUCCUUCCCUCCUCUCCUCCUCUUCCUCCUCCUCCCCGUGCUCCUCCUCCCCCAAGUUUUAACAGAUGUUGCCGGACUCUCCCCACUCCCUCGCACUCCCUCUUCCUCCGCCCUCACCCCCGCCCCGUCCCUUUUCUUUCAGCCACUCUCUGGCUGAGAGGACGCGCUGAGCAGCAGGACGCCUGCCGCCGCAGGGGGCGAAGUUGGGAAAACUUGGAGUGCUGCUCGCCUUACUUUUGCUUUCUCGCUCCUUCCAGGCCGUGCCGGGGGCCCGCGCUUCUCCCGCCCGCCAGGUCCCCAAGCCCGAAGGCCGGUGCUAGUAAGUUAUGUUGCCUCCUUCCUCCAGCAGCCAGUCCAUGUUCAUGUGCGUCCCUUCGGUGUAUCCAACCUGGACCUGUAAUUUAAAAGAGGAGUUCUCAGGGGGAAACAAAGGAAGAAAAAGAAAGAAAGAAAAGAAAGCCCCUGUGACAUUCCAACUUCCCCUCCUCAUGGGUAAGCCGGGUCCACCCACCCACCCGGCCAGAAGCGCCCCGGAGCUCCCGGUGGCUUGUGUGGCGUCGCCGCCAAGUGUCUUGACUGAAGAAGAGAGUGGGUGGAUGAAUGAUGAGCUGUUAGGAUUUGAAGAGCAUUUUGAGAUUCAAAUGCUUAGCUAAAGAAUCUUUUAACGAAAUUGAUGGUGAUAUUCACUGUUUGUUUCUUGGGACUCCUUCCUUGUCACAAUGACGUGACGAAUGCAGAGAAAGACUUAAGGUUUUAUGGUGGAAGUGGUAAAGGUAGGGGCUAAAGGCCCUUGUUAGCCGUUUGUUUUAAGGUUUCCCUCAACCUCACCCCUCAGGAAAAAACAAAACACCACUGACUCAUCGCAGAGAGCAUGAGUCUCAGAAGGCUUGUGGCAGCCCCAUCUCCGUGCUCACUAACUGGCUUCAGGCCUGGGAGGAUUCUCUGAGCCUCCAUAGGCUCUGAGCCCAUCUGGGGAAUAGUGUUAGGAGUGCCAGGUCGCUUACCUCCCAGGAUGGCUGAGGGUUUCCAAUGAGAAAUACAUGGAAAAGUAUAGAGGGAUACAAGUGUGUAAGAAUUAUGCUUUUACAAUUGAAGAGAGUUGCAAGCACCUUUCCUUUAUAUACUCCCAGCAUCAGUCACAAUUGUUUUUAGUAUUCAUGUACUGCUUCUGCCUCUAUCACAUGAAUACAAAUAGUACGUCCUGAUGGCCUCUCUGUUCACCCAAUGGCAAAAAAUAAAAUAAAAAGGACAGCCAAUAAAUCAACAAAUAGAAUAAACUAGAUAUUUUUACUCUUACUUCAAACAGUCUUCUAGCACAUUUUGAAUCAUGAAGAUCUUGAUUUUUCAGUUCUUAAAAGACAAGAACAAAGCAAAAGCCGCUAAUCUUUCCCCCUAUGCCCAUCACAAUAGCUAAACACAAAAGAGGAAGAAUAAUGCUGUGUCUCUUGUGUCCAACUCUGCUUUAAUGGUAGACAUCUAUAUAUAUAUAUAUAUAUAUAUAUAUAUAUAUAUAUAUAUAUAUAGAGAGAGAGAGAGAGAGAGAGAGAGAGAGAGAGAGAGAGAGGCACAUUUUGCAGAAACAGCG
rnacentral:lncRNA from 1 species